rnacentral:rRNA from 1 species
AGGACGAACGCUGGCGGCGUGCUUAACACAUGCAAGUCGAGCGGAAAGGCCCUUCGGGGUACUCGAGCGGCGAACGGGUGAGUAAUACGUGAGCAACCUGCCCUUAGCUCUGGGAUAGCUCCGGGAAACCGGAAUUAAUACCGGAUAUGACCUAGGCCGACAUCGGCCGUGGUGGAAAGUUUUUCGGCUAGGGAUGGACUCGCGGCCUAUCAGCUAGUUGGUGGGGUAAUGGCCUACCAAGGCGACGACGGGUAGCCGGCCUGAGAGGGCGACCGGCCACACUGGGACUGAGACACGGCCCAGACUCCUACGGGAGGCAGCAGUGGGGAAUCUUGCGCAAUGGGCGAAAGCCUGACGCAGCGACGCCGCGUGGGGAUGAAGGCCUUCGGGUUGUAAACCCCUUUCAGCAGGGACGAAGCGAAAGUGACGGUACCUGCAGAAGAAGCGCCGGCUAACUACGCGCCAGCGGCCGC